UGCAGCACCUACUAUGUGCUCAAUAAAUAUGUGUGUAAGGGAGGGAGUGGGGAAGGAGGUCUCACACCCAUCAUCUUGCUUUCGCAGGGUGGUCCCUGAGGCUGCCACCCAGAAUAGAGUCUACUCAGUGCCCAGUGUAGUGUAGGCAGGGGUGGAGUGAGGGAGCUGGAUGUGGGGGGGUAGGCAGCUCUCUGACUGCACCCCCUGCCUGGGCACCUUGUUCCCUCAGUGGUCCGGGGCCCUCUACGGUGAUUGCCAGGCUGGGUCUGGACAGAGGGCCUGGCCUGGAACCCAAGGGUGUGACACUCAGCCCGGGACUUCCCCAGGUGCCCCCCAUAUCUGUGGAGCCCCCUUCUAGGUUCCAGGGAGAGUCAUGUUCCUUCCAAGGUGGUGCUGCCCCCUCUGUCCCCCUAGUACUCAGGAGAGGGCAGUUCAAGUCCUCCUAGAGGGAGGAGGAGACUGACGGUCAGAGCCACGCGGGGCUCUGCGUGGGCCUUAGGCCGGCCUGCCUGGGGCCCUGGAAAUGCUGACGACCCAAGGAAACAGGACAAUGGGGGUGAGUGGGUAAGAGGGGAAGCCUUGGGUGGGGUGUGCAUUCCCAGCAGGGGUCUGAUGUACAGAGGAGAGGUGAGUAGGCUCUGUGGUGCAGAGAUGAGGAGGAAGGACCCGCUCCCAGCAGGACUUUUGGAAGGCAGGCCUGCUGCAGCUCUGUGGGAUGGUGGGCACGAUGGAGGCCUAGGCCUGUGAGGCUGGGGCUGGGGUCCCCCAGGUGCUUCAGAUGAGGCGGGCCCUGACACACACAGUGGGGAGAACUUCCAGGGCCUGCUGGCUGCUCAUCUUUGCUCUCCAUCCCAUAUUAUUAAUUCCAGGCUCAAGGGACACCCAUGAAAUGUGGACAGAUAUUUGUAUCUUCAGAAUUUUCUAUUUCAAUAAGAUGGGGGGGAUUUGCAGUGUCCUUGACCUCCUGGAGACCUUUUCUCUGCUCUGUGCUCAGCCCUCCCCUAGGGCCUCAGCCUCUGAGAGGCCCCGGGGUGAGGUCAGAGGCAGCCCCUGCCCAGGGCAAGAUAACAGGAUUACCUAGUGGAGGUUCCACCCCCACCAGAACUUUAGACCAUGGAGAUGGUGGAUGGUCAUUUGGAAGGACUCAAUCUGAGGUCCCGUGGGUGGGGCUGGCACAGGUCUGUUUUACAAGCUCCCCAGGGGAUCAGGGACAGCUCAGUGGGCCAGGUAAAUCAGUGUUCUGGCAGAAGAAUCUUAAAUCAACAUCAGCAUCCCUGAGAACUUGUUAGAAAAUCAAAUUAUGGGGGACUUCCCUGCUGGGCCAGUGGCUAAGACUCUGUGCUCCCAAGGCAGGGGGCAUGGGCUUGAUCCCUGGUCGGGGAACUAAG
rnacentral:lncRNA from 1 species